UGGGAAGGAGUGUUCAUGGUCUCAGGCUCCACUUACAGAGGCUUCUCUGGGUUCUCUGAGCAAGGGUCUUCCUCCC
rnacentral:miRNA from 1 species